AUGAGUUAAGUAUAAACCCCUUUACAAGUAUCAAUUGGAGGGCAAGUCUGGUGCCAGCAGCCGCGGUAAUUCCAGCUCCAAUAGCGUAUAUUAAAGUUGUUGCAGUUAAAAAGCUCGUAGUUGGAUUUCUGUUAAUAAUUUAUAUUAAAUAUUUUGAAUAUUGAUAUAGUAUUAACAUAAUUCAUAUCAUUAUAUAUUUAUAAUGUAUGAAAUUUUACUUUGAGAAAAUUAGAGUGCUUAAAGCAGGUAUAUUGCCUUGAAUACUUCAGCAUGGAAUAAUAAUAAGAGAUUUUUAUCUUUCUUUUUUAUUGGUUCUAAGAUAGAAAUAAUGAUUAAUAGGGACAGUUGGGGGCAUUUGUAUUUAACAGUUAGAGGUGAAAUUCUUAGAUUUGUUAAAGACAAACUAAUGCGAAAGCAUUUGCCAAGGAUGUUUUCAUUAAUCAAGAACGAAAGUUAGGGGAUCGAAGACGAUCAGAUACCGUCGUAGU
rnacentral:rRNA from 1 species